rnacentral:rRNA from 1 species
AUGGGGAACAUACACCAGGCCGGCGUCAAGAAAGAUGACCAUGGCGGCGGUGACAACCAGCAGCUACAGGUGGUCUCCGUUCUCGAGCUCCAGGCCGGCGUUGUGGAAGACCAGCCGCAGCCUCUCGGCGGAUGGCAUGCCGUCGAGGCAACCUCCAUGUUGGAAAAUUGCAAGACAAACAGUACUGCUACAGAUGGAGGCACCAGCAGCAGGAUAGAUAUCCUCGGGCCUGCAACAGAACAGAAUAUCCCAAAACCCAGUGAUCCUCCUCAUCCAUGCCCGCCGCCACAGUCGCUGCCGGAGGGUGUGCAGUCCGUGCUCAAAACGUCACGGGUUAAUCGAAAGUGCAUUGGAGACGGUGAUGGCUUCACUGCUUAUGAGGAGAGGAUUGCAGGUGAUACAAACAUCCGAGAUCCACCGAAAUACAAAAUUAGAAUGAAGCUUUUACAAUAG